AACCUAGCACACCUGCGGUGUGUACCUGCGGAGGGAUCAUUGACGUUUUUUGCUGGCAACUCUGCUACGCAGAGUUGUGUCUGCACCUGUGAACAGCAGCGUGGCUGCACAUUUACGUAUCAACCUACUAUUUAUUGAGUGAGUGAACGAACACAACUUUUAACAACGGAUCU
rnacentral:misc_RNA from 1 species